GAUGAAGAACGUAGCGAAACGCGAUAAGUAAUGUGAAUUGCAGAAUCCAGUGAAUCAUCGAAUCAUUGAACGCACAUUGCGCCCGCCAGCAUUCUGGCGGGCAUGCCUGUUCGAGCGUCAUUUCAACCCUCGACCUCCCCUUGGGGAGGUCGGCGUUGGGGACCGGCAGCACACCGCCGGCCCUGAAAUGGAGUGGCGGCCCGUCCGCGGCGACCUCUGCGCAGUAAUACAGCUCGCACCGGGACCCCGACGCGGCCACGCCGUAAAACACCCAACUUCUGAACGUUGACCUCGAAUCAGGUAGGACUACCCGCUGAACUUAAGCAUAUCAAUAAGCGGAGGA
rnacentral:misc_RNA from 1 species